rnacentral:rRNA from 1 species
GUGCCAGCCGCCGCGGUAAGACGAAGGAUGCAAGCGUUAUCCGGAUUCAUUGGGUUUAAAGGGUGCGUAGGCGGCCUGCUAAGUCAGUGGUGAAAUCUUCUCGCUUAACGAGAAAACUGCCAUUGAUACUGGUGGGCUUGAGUACAGAUGCUGUGGGCGGAAUAUGACAUGUAGUGGUGAAAUACAUAGAGAUGUCAUAGAACACCGAUUGCGAAGGCAGCUCACAAAACUGUAACUGACGCUGAGGCACGAAAGUGCGGGGAUCAAACAGGAUUAGAAACCCGGGUAGUCC